rnacentral:pre_miRNA from 1 species
UUUGUACUCCCUUCGUCCCAAAAUUCUUGUCUUAAAUUUUUCUAAAUACGGAUGUAUCUAGUUACAUUUUAGUGUUAGAUACAUCCGUAUCUAAACAAAUGUAAGACAAGAAUUUUGGGACGGAGGGAAUACUAC